CGGUGUUGUGUUCUUCGCCUGCUAUUGUUUUCUUUUUCUUUUCAUUUUCAGUACAUUUUCAAUUUUUUUUUAUUUAUAUUGAAUUUUUAUAUCGUGUAUGUGGAAGAUAAAUGACAAGAAUGUUAUUGGUUUGUUCGGAUUCAAGCCUUUUUUCUUUGGCGUAGUGUGAGUUGGAGCAGCCGUUGGCAAAUGUGAAAAACCCCUAUUUUGCAUAGACCAUGUAAAGCAACAAAGCAAUGCUCUUAUGGUAUUGACAGCAGACUGCUGCAUUUAUGAAAAUUGCAAGCAUAAUGUUGAAAGAAAGAGGCUUCAAUGUGACCCUUCUCCUUACGCAGCAAUCCAAAAUCGAUAACAGGAUUCCCAUACAGGGAACUUAAGCACCAAUGCCGAUAUAACAAUUGGAGAAAAAUGUAUAGCAUUUGCUUUUAUUUUCAGAUUUCAGUGGUAUUAGAGAAAGAUAGAAGUAGAGGAAAAAUCUAAUUAACCAUUCUUCUGUAUUAGUCUGAUUUGCCAGAUUUUCCUGAGCUGGUGAAGGAGCCAAUAGAUUCGUUUCUCUUCUGCUCCAGGGGAUGGGUAUCUUUGAGUUUGUUCCAUGGCUGCUCUACACCAGUACCACAAAUGACAUAAAACAAAUUUUUCAAAGUGUAGAUGCUUGCUGAGAGGAAUAAAACAGUUUGCCAUUGAACAAUGGAGCCCUUGUUUGAUGAAGAAAAUUCCCGCAGCUACCACAUACGAUACCUGGUGAUAUUUAGUUUUGAUCUUCAACUUACCGUAUUGCACUAAAAAAAGGGCAGCAACGCCACUUGCCCGUAAACAUCUGAACACAGGACGGUGGGGCUGUUUUUCCAAGGUUUGCAUUCGGUAUUCCGUGUUCUUCGUGAUGUUGUUUCUCAUCAAAUUGCAUACAUAUGUGCCUUCUCUCCCUUUUUAUUUUAAUAUUAGCCUUAGCCAUUAAGAUAUAGUCGGGUGCAAGAACGUGACAAAAUUUUUUGCCUUCUCUCCCCCCACCUUAUACAUGUUGGUAUCAGAUCAAACUAUUGUUAACCAAUCACUAGUUAAUUAACGGUUUCACCUAAGGUUUGUAUAAUUAAGCACAGUUUUUUUCCUACUUACUUUUGUCUUCACCAUUCAUUGCUUGAGUUUCGUUCAUUAGCUUCGUACUGAUGAGUCCGAAUGUAAUUUUAUGGCUGACAGUUUUGAAAGGAUAGCGAAGAGAGGUAUCUUAUGUUUCUCUUUCAUUCCGAAGUGCUUUGGUAAUAGAGAACAUACACUAACCUACCUGGUUUUUCAUUGAUGGUUUUAAUUAAUUUUACGCUUUUUUCAAUUUCCUGUUUUUAUCCGCAGAAACGGAUGAAUUUUAAACUUGUGUAUAGUAGAAACUACGACAAAAGAGUGCUGCAGUUCACGGUGGAUUCUGAUAUCAACGUAUGGCGCUUGUGAACAAUAAUUAGCUGAAGCAACGCCUCUUUCUGUUCACUACUAAGAUCAGCUUUGUAUCACUAACAAAACGUCAACAGCGGCUGAUGCCACAAAACGGGCAUUUCCCUGAUUCGAGUUGAAAUCUGUAAAAAAAAAAACAUUUCAAAACGUUAACUAAAGAGUUUUAUCGAAUUUGCAUUCGACCAUAAAAUACCCACUUGAUGAAAUAGCGAACAGCUGCAUCAACUACACGAUACGGCAAAGCGUACUUUUUGUCGAAAAAGAUCCGCAGAAAAAUUGAAUUCGAUCCACCGUAGUUCAUUUCAGCUAGCUUUAAUAUAGCUCAGCAGAGUGUAAGACAGGAAGGAGCAUCCCGAAAUUACGGAGCCCACAAUGAUAGUUUCUCCUAAGGUGCAGGUGCCACUAUGGGGUAAGUUAUUAGAAAGGUAAAGACAAAAUAAUUGUUUGAAAUUUUUCUUGUAUAACCUCGAAAAUUGGAAGAAGAAAUCCCUAGAAAAACGCCCCAGGUUUAAAAAGAGCUUUCCGCAGAGCUUGAUAAAGAUGGAAAUUUAGUUUCUUGUGCUCGACGAUAUCGUCGCGAACACGAGGAAAAAGGACCAAAUCAAAACACCGUUGAUCCACUUUCUCCCUUGAAUUUGAUGUGAAUAUCCGUGUAGCACGUUCGUAUGCUAUGUAUUAGAUGAUUUAUGAAAUACGCUGUGAAUUACAAGACAAACUUGGAGAGUGUA